rnacentral:misc_RNA from 1 species
CAGAAUAAUAUCAUAUUAUUUUAUAUAGAAUAGCAUAUUAAAUUAGCUUGAAAUGAUUCAAGAAAUUGAACUCCAAAAUCAAAAUUGGCGAAAGACUCAUUGUGCUGUACUUAAUAAUUUUUCAGAUCUUGAAUGUUGACAGAAAUUUCAUUUACUUUCGCGUAAAAUAUCUGAGAUUGUUAACACUCUACAUCAUGAUCUGUCUUCAACAACUGGCCAAAACAAUUCCAUUUUACAAGAAACUAAAGUACUUGUAUCUUUAAGGUUUCUAGCAACAGGAAGCUUUCAAAAUCCAAUAGGCGACACUUCUGAGAUUAGCUAGGCUAGCACUAGUCGAAUAAUCCAUCAGUUUUGUGAGUCCUUUAUGCAACUCUACAGCUACCUUGUCAAAUGGUACAGUAGUCAAGAAGAAAUAACUAAAGUGAAACAAAGUUAUUUUGAGGCUUUUGGAGUAAAGGGUCUUUUGGGUUUAAUUGAUGGUACAGUGGUGCCCAUCAAAGGAGUCACUGGGGCUGAUGAGCCAGCUUUUAUUUGCAGAAAAGGCUAUUCAGCUAUAAAUUGCCAAUUUGUUGUCGAUUAUAUGGACAGUUCAGAGAUGUAGUAGUUAAAUAUCCAGGAUCAUGUCAUGAUGCUUUUGUUUAUUCAAAUUCUACUUUAAAACAAACGAUGGAAGCUGAUCCAGUUGCCGGUUUUCUUUUUGGUGAUUCAGGAUACGGGUUAUCGCCAGUCAUGAUUACACCAUUUAGUCCUGCAAUAACCGGUGAAAAAAUGUUUUUCAACAAAACCCACUCAAGGGUUCGAAGUAGAAUAGAACGUUGUAUUGGCAGUCUCAAAAACAGGCGGAGAUGUCUACAUAAAAGUGGCGGAACUCUUCAAUAUUCUCCUACCAAGUGCUGUUUGAUCAUUUAUACUUGUGUAUUACUUGAGAAUAUGUGCAAUUCAUUGGGUUUAGAAGAGCCAGAUAAUGUAGUAGCUAGCGACGAUGCAGUUGGUAACACUGAGAUGAUAACAGAUAAUAACAGCACUGAAAAUAAUAGUACUUUUUAUCACGUUGGUCGAAGACAAAUCAACCAAAUUCAACUUGGUUUAACUAGAAGAAAUGAUUUGAAAAACUAUAUGUUUGCCAAUAGACAUGCCCAUGUUUUAUAACGUUGUGUUAUUAGAUAAAACUGUUAUUUAAAAAAAAAUGCUUUCUUUAUUUAAGAAAUUUAGUGGGUAAAA